AUGGGAAGAGGGCCUGCCUGCGUGCGUGCGUCUUCCCGUUUUCUUCUGCUGCUGUGGGAUUGCAGGACGACUUCUCGGCUGCUGAAUAAUGAAUCAAAGCAUUGGAGGGGAGCGAAGUCACACUGCACCAGCUUGUCUCUCCGCGCCGCUUCAACUUCAGCCGAGCUGCUGGAGAAGAAGCUGCCUCUAAUGGGGCCGAGACCCUGCCGUCACCUCGCCGACCACGCGGCGGUAAACCACAGAAUUCCCCUUGAAAUGCGGUUUAGCACAAACCAGAUCACUGAGUUAAACUGCAGAUCAAUGAACAUUUAUGCAGAAAGGCAAAUAUCUGCAUUUACCACAUGGGUCGUAUUUGUUGUUUGCAAAUGCAUUUGCCAAAAGGAGGAAGAGACCAGUUCAGAACAAUGAUGGAACACCCUCAUACACACUCAUCAGCUCCAUCUACAGAGAGUCAGUCAAUAAAUGAACGGUGAUCAAUAUUCA
rnacentral:lncRNA from 1 species